rnacentral:rRNA from 1 species
UUCAGUUGGGCACUCUAAGGUGACUGCCGGCUAAAAGUACGGAGGAAGGUGGGGAGUGACGUCAAAUCAUCAUGCCCUUAUGACCUGGGCUACACACGUGCUACAAUGGGCGGUACAAAGGGUCGCGAACCCGCGAGGGGGAGCCAAUCCCAAAAAGCCGCUCUCAGUUCGGAUUGCAGGCUGCAACUCGCCUGCAUGAAGCCGGAAUCGCUAGUAAUCGCGGAUCAGCAUGCCGCGGUGAAUACGUUCCCGGGCCUU